rnacentral:rRNA from 1 species
GACGAACGCUGGCGGCGUGCUUAACACAUGCAAGUCGAACGGAAAGGCCCUGCUUGCGUGGGGUGCCCGAGUGGCGAACGGGUGAGUAACACGUGAGUAACCUGCUCUUGACUUUGGGAUAACUUCAGGAAACUGGGGCUAAUACCGGAUAGGAGCUCCUGCUGCAUGGUGGGGGUUGGAAAGUUUCGGCGGUUGGGGAUGGACUCGCGGCUUAUCAGCUUGUUGGUGGGGUAGUGGCUUACCAAGGCUUUGACGGGUAGCCGGCCUGAGAGGGUGACCGGCCACAUUGGGACUGAGAUACGGCCCAGACUCCUACGGGAGGCAGCAGUGGGGAAUAUUGCACAAUGGGCGGAAGCCUGAUGCAGCAGCGCCGCGUGCGGGAUGACGGCCUUCGGGUUGUAAACCGCUUUCGCCUGUGACGAAGCGUGAGUGACGGUAAUGGGUAAAGAAGCACCGGCUAACUACGUG